UUUAUGAAUGAAUUCGCAUGGAAGGUCAAACGCUGUUCAUGGGAUUAAUAGUCAUUAAUAUUUAGACGGGUUUUAAACUCUGCACGCCAUCGUGUAUGUCCAAUUUCCAUACAUGUAUGUGAAUUAGUUUUCGACAAGAUUCGUCUGAUUGAGGUUUAUGGAAAUUAAUAUCCGAUCGAAAUUUGUUCGACAAUCAUGACAGUGUUUCCAGUCAAAUUCAAUUAUUGGAAUGGCUUUGUCUAAAAAAUGAAAACGCAUCAAUUUAAUUUGUCAUAAAUGUCAGUCAACAAAAGUAAAAAAUUAAUGUAAAUUACAGGAUGUUAUCCUCAAGAACGGCUGUAAAAUUUAUCAAUUUUUUGAAGAAAUUCGACGUGAAGUUUUUCUCAACUGAGCAAUUCAAGAAUUAUAGGCGGAUUCCUCUUAAACAGCGUUUUUUAGAAACGUUUGGUCAAGACCCAACUCUAGAAGAAACGUGUGAUAAAAUUAGACGGGAAUAUAUGAAGGCAUUAUCUAAUGCACAAUUAAGAGAAGAGGAGAGCUUAGAAAAUAUAGAAAAUGCAAUACUUGGAAAGAAAAAAAACUAUUUCAAAGUUAAAUUAGUGAAAAAUUAAAUAUUUGUCAAUAGUAUAAUGUGAAACACAGUUAGAAUAUGAAAUAUAAUUAGAAUUAGAAUAAGA